GUGGGGAAUCUUGCGCAAUGGGCGAAAGCCUGAUCCAGCAAUGCCGCGUGAGUGAUGAAGGCCCUAGGGUUGUAAAGCUCUUUUACCCGGGAUGAUAAUGACAGUACCGGGAGAAUAAGCUCCGGCUAACUUCGUGCCAGCAGCCGCGGUAAUACGAGGGGAGCUAGCGUUGUUCGGAAUUACUGGGCGUAAAGCGCGCGUAGGCGGUUUUUUAAGUCAGAGGUGAAAGCCCGGGGCUCAACCCCGGAAUUGCCUUUGAAACUGGAAAACUAGAAUCUUGGAGAGGUCAGUGGAAUUCCGAGUGUAGAGGUGAAAUUCGUAGAUAUUCGGAAGAACACCAGUGGCGAAGGCGACUGACUGGACAAGUAUUGACGCUGAGGUGCGAAAGCGUGGGGAGCAAACAGGAUUAGAUACCCGGGUAGUCC
rnacentral:rRNA from 1 species